rnacentral:rRNA from 1 species
AUUGAACGCUGGCGGCAUGCCUUACACAUGCAAGUCGAACGGCAGCACGGGGCAGCCUGGUGGCGAGUGGCGAACGGGUGAGUAAUGCAUCGGAACGUACCUUUCAGUGGGGGAUAACGUAGCGAAAGUUACGCUAAUACCGCAUAUUCUGUGAGCAGGAAAGCAGGGGAUCGCAAGACCUUGCGCUGAUUGAGCGGCCGAUGUCAGAUUAGCUAGUUGGUGAGGUAAAGGCUCACCAAGGCGACGAUCUGUAGCGGGUCUGAGAGGAUGAUCCGCCACACUGGAACUGAGACACGGUCCAGACUCCUACGGGAGGCAGCAGUGGGGAAUUUUGGACAAUGGGGGCAACCCUGAUCCAGCCAUGCCGCGUGAGUGAAGAAGGCCUUCGGGUUGUAAAGCUCUUUCGGCCGGGAAGAAAUCGCACGGGCUAAUACCCUGUGUGGAUGACGGUACCGGAAUAAGAAGCACCGGCUAACUACGUGCCAGCAGCCGCCGCUGUAA